rnacentral:rRNA from 1 species
UGGGGAAUAUUGGACAAUGGGCGAAAGCCUGAUCCAGCCAUGCCGCGUGUGUGAAGAAGGUCUUCGGAUUGUAAAGCACUUUAAGUUGGGAGGAAGGGCAUUAACCUAAUACGUUAGUGUUUUGACGUUACCGACAGAAUAAGCACCGGCUAACUCUGUGCCAGCAGCCGCGGUAAUACAGAGGGUGCAAGCGUUAAUCGGAAUUACUGGGCGUAAAGCGCGCGUAGGUGGUUUGUUAAGUUGGAUGUGAAAUCCCCGGGCUCAAUCUGGGAACUGCAUUCAAAACUGACUGACUAGAGUAUGGUAGAGGGUGGUGGAAUUUCCUGUGUAGCGGUGAAAUGCGUAGAUAUAGGAAGGAACACCAGUGGCGAAGGCGACCACCUGGACUAAUACUGACACUGAGGUGCGAAAGCGUGGGGAGCAAACA